GUGGUUUAAUUCGAUGCAACGCGAAAACCUUACCCACCUUUGACAUGUACGGAAUCCUUUAGAGAUAGAGGAGUGCUCGAAAGAGAGCCGUAACACAGGUGCUGCAUGGCUGUCGUCAGCUCGUGUCGUGAGAUGUUGGGUUAAGUCCCGCAACGAGCGCAACCCUUGUCAUUAGUUGCUACAUUCAGUUGGGCACUCUAAUGAGACUGCCGGUGACAAACCGGAGGAAGGUGGGGAUGACGUCAAGUCAGCAUGGCCUUUAUAUCCUGGGCUACACACACGCUACAAUGGGAAGGGACAAUAGGUUGCGAAGCCGCGAGGCGGAGCCAAUCCAGCAAAACUUCCCUCAGUUCAGAUUGCAGGCUGCAACUCGCCUGCAUGAAGUUGGAGUUGCUAGUAAACGCAGGUCAGCCAUACUGCGUUGAAUACGUUCCCGGGGCUU
rnacentral:rRNA from 1 species